CAGCACCUCAAGUGGUUAGGAUGAUUAUUGGGCCUAAAGCAUCCGUAGCCGGCUCUGUAAGUUUUCGGUUAAAUCUGUAUGCUCAACAUACAGGCUGCCGGGAAUACUGCAGAGCUAGGGAGUGGGAGAGGUAGACGGUACUCGGUAGGAAGGGGUAAAAUCCUUCGAUCUAUUGAUGACCACCUGUGGCGAAGGCGGUCUACCAGAACACGUCCGACGGUGAGGGAUGAAAGCUGGGGGAGCAAAACGGAUUAGAUACCCGAGUAGUCC
rnacentral:rRNA from 1 species